rnacentral:tRNA from 1 species
GAAGAGGCGUCUGUAGAAGUGUAAAGUUGUAGCCUUUAUUAUGGAAGUAAAAUCUUUCUCUCUUUA